CCUACGGGAGGCAGCAGUGGGGAAUAUUGCACAAUGGGCGAAACCCUGAUGCAGCGACGCCGCGUGAGUGAUGAAGUAUUUCGGAAUGUAAAGCUCUAUCAGCAGGGAAGAAAAUGACGGUACCUGACUAAGAAGCCCCGGCUAACUACGUGCCAGCAGCCGCGGUAAUACGUAGGGGGCAAGCGUUAUCCGGAUUUACUGGGUGUAACGGGAGCGUAGACGGUUGUGUAUGUCUGGAGGGAAAGGCCGGGGCUUAACCCCGGGACUGCUUUGGAAACUGUGCAACUAGAGUGCAGGAGGGGUAAGUGGAAUUCCUGGUGUAGCGGUGAAAUGCGGAGAGAUUAGGAGGAACACCAGUGGCGAAGGCGGCUUUCUGGACUGUAACUGACGUUGAGGCGCGAAAGCGUGGGGAGCAAACAGGAUUAGAUACCCUUGUAGUC
rnacentral:rRNA from 1 species